rnacentral:misc_RNA from 1 species
UGAGAGGAUGGGCGGCUGGUG